AAUCUUGCGCUAAUGCGCGAAAGCGUGACGCAGCGACGCCGCGUGGGGGAUGAAGGCCCUCGGGUUGUAAACCCUUUCGGCAGGGACGAAGCGAAAGUGACGGUACCUGCAGAAGAAGUCCCGGCUAACUACGUGCCAGCAGCCGCGGUAACACGUAGGGGACGAGCGUUGUCCGGAUUUAUUGGGCGUAAAGCGCGCGUAGGCGGCCCGGAAAGUCGGUUGUGAAAUCCCGGGGCUCAACCCCGGGACCGCGUCCGAUACUUCCGAGCUCGAGGCAGGUAGGGGAGAUCGGAAUUCCUGGUGUAGCGGUGAAAUGCGCAGAUAUCAGGAGGAACACCGGUGGCGAAGGCGGAUCUCUGGGCCUUGCCUGACGCUGAGGCGCGAAAGCUAGGGGAGCGAACAGGAUUAGAUACCCUGGUAGUCCUAGCCGUAAACGUUGGGUGCUAGGUGUGGGCGGACAUCGACCCCGUCCGUGCCGAAGCUAACGCAUUAAGCACCCCGCCUGGGGAGUACGGCCGCAAGGCUA
rnacentral:rRNA from 1 species